UACAGAGGGUGCGAGCGUUAAUCGGAAUGACUGGGCGUAAAGGGCGAGUAGGCGGUUGGUUAAGUGAGGUGAUAAAGACAUGGGCUUAACCUAUGGGUGACACCUUAGACUGGCUGACUAGAGAUAAGGAGAGGGGAGUGGAAUUUCCGGAGGAGUGGUGAAAUACGUAGAUUUCGGAAGGAACACCGGUGGCGAAGGCGACUCUCUGGCCUUAAUCUGACGCUGAGGAGCGAAGGCGUGGGUAGCAAACAGG
rnacentral:rRNA from 1 species